CUGAGGAGUCGGGACUUGGGUGUGCAACUGGUCCCCAAUCGUUGUACUUGCCCAUCAGAGGGGCCCACCAAGGACGGUGAAGGUAGAGGGUGCCGCGAAAAGACACAAAGGCUAAACACAGCCACAGGGAAAACGGGAGGAAACCUUUCUGUAAAUCAACCGGGAAGCUUUAAGGACAAUUGAACUGGGGAUGACUUUGUAUGAAAAAGCUGGAGAGACAAAGAAAGGAAAAUUAGGAUCGAAGAGUGGGACAAGGGAAGACUUAAAAGCCCGAAGAAAGCAAACUGCACCCGGAACUAAAAGGAAAACUAAACCAAUAAAGAAAAAAUUGAAAAACAGCAUGCCAGAAUGAACUUGUUCCUGCAACUGCCAACAGAGGGAAGAAAAAAGGGUGGGGGCACCGAACAUACUGGAGGAACCAAAAGUGAUGGAUGGAAGGAAGGGAGAGAAGACUGGACGCAAAUUAAACCAGACACGACAUAUUAUAGGUGCAGCAAGCGGACAAAGACAUCAAUCUUCCAAGACACUAAUGACAUAAAAAAAGAUGUAGGCUGUAAAUGAUGGUUGCCAUUUUCAGGAAAAAAAAACAAUACUAGCACCAUUUCAAACAAGAAAAUAAUAAAGAUGUAUGGUUUCUUAGUGUUUGACAGCUCACAAGUGAGUUCAACUCCAGAUAUCUUUUUCAAGGAAAUCUCCUCAUCAUGGAUGCAUCAGGACUGCUCACAGGUGUCUUAGCCCUGUGCUUCCUCAUCUGUGGCAUGAGUUUUGAGCAAGGCAAACCAUGGCAGCUAUUCUCAGG